GAUGAACGCUGGCGGCGUGCUUAACACAUGCAAGUCGAACGAAGCACUUUAUUUGAUUUCCUUCGGGACUGAUCAUUUUUUGACUGAGUGGCGGACGGGUGAGUAACGCGUGGGUAACCUGCCUCGUACAGGGGGAUAACAGUUGGAAACGGCUGCUAAUACCGCAUAAGCGCCCGGCAUCGCAUGAUGCAGUGUUAAAAACUCCGGUGGUAUAAGAUGGACCCGCGUUGGAUUAGCUAGUUGGUGAGGUAACGGCCCACCAAGGCGACGAUCCAUAGCCGACAUGAGAGGGUGACCGGACACAUUGGGACUGAGACGCGGCCGAAACUCCUACGGGAGGCAGCAGUGGGGAAUAUUGCACAAUGGGCGAAAGCCUGAUGGAGCGACGACGCGUGAGCGAAGAAGUAUUGCGAUAUGUAAAGCGCUAGCAGCAGGGAAGAUAUUGACGGUACCUGACGAAGAAGCACCGGCUAAAUACGUG
rnacentral:rRNA from 1 species